rfam:Triticum aestivum genome assembly, contig: Triticum_aestivum_CS42_TGACv1_scaffold_321285_4BL
AAUCUACUCCCUCCAUCCCAAAAUUCUUGUCUUAGAUUUGUCUAAAUACGGAUGUAUCAAGUCAGGUACAUCCGUAUCUAGACAAAUCUAAGACAAGAAUUUUGGGACGGAGGGAGUAUUAG